CAAGAGCGUAUGUAAAAGUUGUUGCAGUUAAAAAGCUCGUAGUUGAACCUUGGGUUUGGUUGGCCGGUCCGCUUUUUUGCGAGUACUGGAUUCAACCGAGCCUUUCCUUCUGGCUAACCAGUCGUUUCGGCGGCUGGCGAACCAGGAUUUUUACUUUGAGAAAAUUAGAGUGUUCAAAGCAGGCAUUAGCUUGAAUAUAUUAGCAUGGAAUAAUAGAAUAGGACGUUAUGGUUCUAUUUUGUUGGUUUCUAGGACCAUCGUAAUGAUUAAUAGGGACGGUCGGGGGCAUCAGUAUUCAGUUGUCAGAGGUGAAAUUCUUGGAUUUACUGAAGACUAACUACUGCGAGAGCAUUUGCCAAGGACGUUUUCAUUAA
rnacentral:rRNA from 1 species